rnacentral:rRNA from 1 species
UACGUAGGGUGCGAGCGUUGCCCGGAUUUAUUGGGCGUAAAGGGCGCGCAGGCGGCUACGCACGUCCGUUGUGAAAUCGCUCGGCUCAACUGGGCGAGGUCAGCGGAUACGGCGUGGCUGGAGCAAGCUAGGGGGCAAUGGAAUUCCCGGUGUAGUGGUGGAAUGCGUAGAUAUCGGGAGGAACACCAGUGGCGAAGGCGGUUGCCUGGAGCUUUGCUGACGCUGAGGCGCGAAAGCGUGGGGAGCGAUCCGG